rnacentral:rRNA from 1 species
GUGGGGAAUCUUAGACAAUGGGCGCAAGCCUGAUCUAGCCAUGCCGCGUGAGCGAUGAAGGCCUUAGGGUUGUAAAGCUCUUUCGUGGGGGAAGAUAAUGACUGUACCCCAAGAAGAAGCCCCGGCUAACUCCGUGCCAGCAGCCGCGGUAAUACGGAGGGGGCUAGCGUUGUUCGGAAUUACUGGGCGUAAAGCGCACGUAGGCGGACUGGAAAGUCAGGGGUGAAAUCCCGGGGCUCAACACCGGAACUGCCUUUGAAACUCCCAGUCUUGAGUUCGAGAGAGGUGAGUGGAAUUCCGAGUGUAGAGGUGAAAUUCGUAGAUAUUCGGAGGAACACCAGUGGCGAAGGCGGCUCACUGGCUCGAUACUGACGCUGAGGUGCGAAAGCGUGGGGAGCAAACAGGAUUAGAAACCCCAGUAGUCC